AUCCUUCCCAAGAGGGGUGUCCCAAGGCCUUUCUGAAGCCCUUCACAGCAAGGUAACUCCUUCCAUACUCUGCCUGCACCUCCCAACAUCAAUUAAAAUGGAUAUCUUCCCAUUCAGAAAAGCAACAUUUUUAACUUACCAGAGUAUCUGCUUGGAAUCCCUGAAGAGAUGGAUGGUCAGGUGCUCACUCCCAGAUAAGGUGUACAGUUGUGAAUUUUGUUAUUAGAGCCAGUCCAUCCUGCAGUGAGGCAAUAGUAGACUUCAACCAAGCUCAAUACAGCUACAAUUUCACAAAAAUGUUUGAAAAACCAGAUGUUUAUUUGAAAUCAGCUGGUGAUUAAAUGGUAUAUGUUGUGGUUGGGUUUGUGUCUCCAUCUGAGGCUUUAUUUUGCUACAGAUGAUCUGUGUAAUGAAAGCUCUCAUGAGAAAAACUGAGCACUGACAAGAAGUAUUCCUAGGUAAAAUGAUCAAUCACAAAUAAAUACACUUUCAAACUGGAAUACA
rnacentral:lncRNA from 1 species